UGAGGGAUUUUGCGCAAUGGGCGGAAGCCUGACGCAGCAACGCCGCGUGAGUGAAGAAGGCCUUUGGGUCGUAAAGCUCUGUCGACAGGGAAGAAGUUAAUGUAAUUUAAUAGAUUGCGUUAUUGACGGUACCUGAGAAGGAAGCAUCGGCUAACUCCGUGCCAGCAGCCGCGGUAAUACGGGGGAUGCAAGCGUUAUUCGGAAUUAUUGGGCGUAAAGGGCGCGUAGGCGGUUUUAAAAGUCAGGUGUGAAAGCCCGGGGCUUAACCCCGGAAGAGCAUUUGAAACUAUAAGACUUGAGUACGGUAGAGGAAAGCGGAAUUCCUGGUGUAGAGGUGAAAUUCGUAGAUAUCAGGAGGAACACCGGUGGCGAAGGCGGCUUUCUGGGCCUGUACUGACGCUGAGGCGCGAAGGCGUGGGUAGCGAACAGGAUUAGAUACCCUGGUAGUCCACGCAGUAAACGUUGUACACUUGGUGUUGCGGGUAUUGACCCCUGCAGUGCCGAAGCAGACGCGAUAAGUGUACCGCCUGGGGAGUACGGUCGCAAGACUA
rnacentral:rRNA from 1 species